ensembl:lncRNA
GAGAAAACAACUGUCUGUGCAGAGAAAUAUGGCAGCAGAGAUACUGGAGACAUGUUAUCUGCUUUUGUUAACGACCCUCCGGAGUCAGUUCUACCUCAAGUGUCCUCCUGCCCUGCGACACUCGGGACGAUGGAAGGAGACAAGCUCAGUCAAGAUGCAGAGGAAAGCCUCGUGGUCUGAUCAAGGCAUGGAGGGGCUGGAGUUCCCGCCAUAGAGACGGGCAGUGGGCCUCCCGCAGGAGAGGCAGCGGCCGGGCUGCUCUAUGACGUCUCGCCAGCGCGCGGGAGCAGGCGGAGUUCUGGCGGGCUGGCUACGCGGCUCACGGGUGCAGCUCACGGCGCAGGCGCAGCGCCUCAGCGCCCAGGCCCGCCGCCAUCUUGGGUGGAGCACCGAGCGCCGCGCCUCUGCGCACGGCCCCAGGCUGAGGGGCCGGGGCCGCCAUUUUGAGGCGGGAACUCUGGUCUCAGUGGCCGGGUUCACGGCCUCUGCGUGCAGCCGCCUGUGAGCCAGUGACACCAGAGGAAGCACAAAGGGAUGACGAAAAAGUAGGGUGCAUCUGUUGGCUUCGUCUGUCCCACAUCUACUCCUCAUCAUCCUGGUGCUAGAAUGAUGAAUUUUUCAGGAAACUAUCUCUCCCGUGGUCUCUGCCGCCUCUCCCUUGUCUUCCCAGCUCAUGAAAGCUGACUGUCAAAUUGUUAGCAACCUGCGAAGUUAUUGGAGAUUGUGCAGGAAAUCAGGAAGUCCCCCCAAAAACAAGAAAGACUGGAAAAAUGAGCAGGAACCAAGUUAUGUCAGAGGAACCACUUCAAGGUCACUGUAGAGGAAUUCUACCUCUUGUUAAGACACUAUUCUCCAAGUGCCACGGCCACUGCUGCUGCUGGACAUUUCUGCCAUUGGGCUCACAACACUGUCCCAAGACCUUUGCCACCAGUCCUCACUAAGGGAACUGCUUCUAGAGCCCCAAGGUUUAAGUGCAAAAAGAUGAGCUUAUCAACAAAGCAGGUGUGGAUCCAUGGAACACCUGAAGAGAUCAAACUCAAAGCCGUGGUGAACUGCAGCUGUGACUCUCCGUGGUUACCCACUUGGCUCUCUGGGUACAGUGUUCAUGCGUUUCUGCUUGCCACCACCUGCCCCAGAGUUAAACUCGGAUGAUGCAACUGGCCAGUCCUCGGAGAUUCCUCUAGCCCAGAAUUUCUCCCCCUCAGAAUUCCUGAUGUUUUGAGCAGAUGAAUAUUCAUCAUGGCAGGCGCCAUGGGCAUUGAAGGACCUUCAGCUGCAUUCCUGCUCUCUCCCGGUCCACACAGUGAGAUAGCACACGUCUCUCCCUGAGCUGUCAAGACCAGAACAGCUCUAAGCACUGCCAAAUGUGCCCUGGGCAGGGGCAAAAUCACUGUCAGUUGAAAACCACUGUUCUAAUCCUUGCUGAAUAUUAGAAUUACCCUUGAUGCCAUCCCAAUGGAAUCAGAAUCUUUGGGCACGGACCCCAGGUGCCAGCAUUGGAAAAGCUACCCAGGGGUUUUAAACCAUAGCCCAGGUUGAGAAUUUCCAUCCUAAAGCAACUGGUCUAAUAUUGCUAUAGAGCUUCUUAAAGUCCUUCUCAGAUAUUUUUAUAACCGGGCCCUCCACUUAGCAACACAUGAGCAGCUACUACGCAGAAACAAUAUUAGCUAUAAUGUCAAGUACCAUCUCAUGGAAUUUGCAAUUUAAUGAGGUCAUGAGAGUGCGAGGGAAAUAAAUUGUUUUUCAUGUGUGAGUACGUAUGGAAAAAUACCUAGAAAAAAGACCUAAAAGAAAUGAGAAAUGAGUGCUGAUCUGUGGAAGGAGGGCAGGGGAGUUAAUAGACAGGUGGGACCUGGGGAGCUCAUCAGGGGUGAAGAGCCACACGACCUUUGAGAGGACAGGAGAGGGGUAGGGCAUUGUGAUUUUUUGAAGAGCCCAGUAUAUUUUUUAAUGAAGAGGAUUAUGAAUGCUACAGUAUAUGUUCAGCACUGAUCUUUUUUAAAUACCAGCUUUAUUAUAACACACACACCAUAAAAUUCACCAUUUCAAAGUGUACAAUCCAGUGAUUUUUAGUAUAUACACAGAAUUAUGCAAUCGACACCACUAUCAAAUUUCAAAAUAUCUUCAUCACCUUAAAAACAAACCCCAUACUCAUUAGUAGUCACCCUCCAUUUACUGCAACCACCCCAGCCCCUGGCAACCAGUAAUCUGCUUUCCGUCGUAGAUUUGCCAAUUCUGGACAUUCUGCAUCAACAGAUUCCUGUAAUAUAUGGCCAUUUGUGUCCAGCUACCUAGACAGCAUCUGAAAGCAAAGCAAAAUGAAAGGGAAAACAAAAUCUCCCUCCCAAGAGGCAGUUUAGCCUAGAGCCCAAAAGGUAGGCUUUGGCACCGGACAAAAUUUCAAAUUAAAUCAAGUCCUAACCCUCUAGCUGUUUGAUCUCAAGCAGACACCAUUGGUCGACCCCCCAACACCCUUCUCAAUGUCCAACUCUCACCAUAGAGACUGGAAAGUCUAAGUAGCAUUGUCCCAGGUCCUCCACAGUUUUGCCAAUGGAAAGUCUCAGAUAGCUCCUAGGAAGGAUAUUUCCUUCCACGGUUAGAGACGUACUGGAGGAAAACAUCGUGUCAUUUGUCCUCUCCUUCCUUCCUUCCUUCAAAGGAUGUGUGAAGGCAGGAAGCUCGGACACACGGCUGCCAUGCUGUGUCCAUGAGGGAAAGGCUGAGAAGAUCCAGAAAUGCCAGCCUAGAUUCUGAUUCUGUUGCUACAGAUCCGGUAGCAGCAACUGUCUUCUCAGUGAUUAGUUAUGCCUGGAAAAUAAGCCUUUGUAUGUCAAAGCUACUGUUACUUGGGUUUUGGUUACUGGAAGCAUCAAAUUACUGCAACAGGAAGUUACUUCACUUCUGUGCACAAGUUCACACAUUGGGGCAGAGCUCCCUCGCCUUUAUCUCAAGAACCCGCUACCAUUUGUUGAAAAUUGGUUUCUUUUUGGGAGUGUGUCUUCUUCAGGGAAGCUCAUGGGAUUUGCAUCUUGUUCUCCUUUUGCUAAGAUAUGAGCCUGUUAGUCAACCUACACUCAUCAGAAACCCCUCCCUGAAAUUUGGUUUCUGAGAUGGAAAGUUAUCAGAAUCCGUUCUUCCCAGUGGAAGCUCAGCGACUAAUGAGUCUGUUCCCAGCACAGGGCUGAUCCUGUAUUUAUCCAUGCAUGCCUCCAUCCAUUCCUUCUAAAAAUGUAUUUAUUGAGCGCCUAAUAUGUGGCUUCUCCGGUGGCUCAGCUGGUAAAGAACCUAUCUGCCAAUGCAAGAGACGCAAGAGACAUGGGUUCGAUCCCUGGGUCAGAAGGAUCUCCUGAAGGAGGAAAUGGCAACCCACUCCAGUAUUCUUGCCUGGAAAAUCCCAUGGACAGAGAAGCCUGGCACUCUGCAGUCCCUGGGGUCUCAAAGAGUUGGAUACGACAGAGUACACACACACGCAAUUUAAUAGGUGCCAGUGUGAGGACAUGGAAUUGAAAAAAUGAGACAAAUUUAAGUAGUUUAUAUCCUAAAUAGCUGGUGAAAAGUGAAGUCACUCAGUCAUGUCCAACUCUUUGUGACCCCAUGGACUGUAGCCAACCAGGCUACUCCAUCCACGGAAUUUUCCGGGCAAGAGUACUGGAGUGCGUUACCAUUUCCUUCUCCAGGGGAUCUUCCUGACCCAGGGAUCAAACCCGGGACUCCCACAUUGCAGGCAGACGCUAUACCAUCUGAGCCGCCAGGGAAGCCCCAAGUAGCUUAUGUCCUAGGACUAUAAACACAUCCCUGUCUUAUAUAACAUGAGGUGGUGAUGAGGCUGUGAAGAAAAAGUAGACUGAAGGGGAUAGAUUGUGAGAGAGAUGGGGAAAAGGUGACUUCUAUUUUGGAGGGUGAUCAGAGAAGGCCUCACUAAGGAAACUGUUUGAACAGAGAAGCUCUGGCAAAAGUGUUCCUGGCAGAAGGUAGAGCAAGUGCCAAGGCCCUGAGGCAGGAGCCUGCUGACUAUAUCUGAGAAACAGGAAGGAGGAAGUCAGCGUGGCUGGAGCAGAAGAAUGGAAUGGAGAUGCGAUUGAUGAGCAGGCAAGGGGAGAGCCAGGACCCAGAUCAAAUGGAUCAAGCCACUCACCGAAACAUGAGCAAACCGCUUCAACUUAAUCCCUCUGGCUGCUGGAUGGCGUAGCCUGAGCGGGGAAGGCAGGGAGGGCCAGCAAGGAGGCGAUGGCGGUAUUUCCGGCGAGAAAUGAUGGUGCCUAGGAUCAAGGUUGUACCCAUGGGGUGAACGGGAAGUAAUCAGAUACCAUGCCUAUUUAGAAGGUAGAGCUAACCAGGGUUUGGUAACUGGAUGUGAAGCGUGAGAAAAAUGGGAGAGGCGAGGACAGUUCCACCCUGAUGGGCUGAGGAGCCAUUUGCCGAGGGGGAGGACCACAGGAAGGACCAGAUUUUCGGUAGGCAGGGUGAUGACAGACAUGACGAGGAGGUCGUUACUGUGGGCCUCCUGGGGCUUCCUCGUGGAAAGUCUAGUCCCUCCGCUUUCCCACCAUUCAGAGCUUCCAGCAUCCUUCCAGUGAUUUGGCUGAAAUUAACCAGAGUUCGCUUCUAUUAGUUGACACUAAAACCCCUUAACUGAUAUAAGGGGCUCCCUUGGCCCUUGAGUGUUAGCACAGGAAACUAAACCCCAUUCUGACUGUGGGAACAUGUGUUCCGAGCAACAGCUAACAAAUUCACAAAUGAACUUUCGGACGCCACCCACUUCUCAGCAGGAGGCUGACUUCCUCUCCCAGUGUCUCUCCUCAGAGAGACAGCUUCUGCCAGUACAAGGUGGGGAAGUGUCAAAUACUAUUAAAACCUGAUUGCUAAUUCAAAUGCGAUUGCGCUUGAUAUGCUUGUCAUGUAAAAGUGUGCAGUGUAGCUUAAUAAAAUUGAUAGAACCCCCUUUGAAGAUAUUUUUGUCACAGAGGCACUUAAUAAGACUGUUUCCAUGAGGCUUCUCUGCCUCUUCAAUAUUUUCCUAGUGACACAUGUGAGUGAACUAGUCCAGAACCUAGCAAGGCAUGUUUCCCAAAGAAUGUUGGAGGGGAAGGGGGAGUACUCAGAGUCCUCCUCCUUCUUUCUUUUCGUUAGGAAGUUCUCUACCAACUGCCCGAUGAUACGGUUCAUCUGGUCACUGGGAAACCAAAUCAAAGCUGUUUUGCUUCAGAAUCAGACGCGAUGAAUAAAUAAUCCACAGAGGUUGCUGUCACUAACUCAAAAAUAGCUAAUUAUAAAC